rnacentral:rRNA from 1 species
UAGGGAAUCUUCCGCAAUGGACGCAAGUCUGACGGAGCAACGCCGCGUGAGUGAAGAAGGAUUUCGGUUCGUAAAACUCUGUUGUUAGAGAAGAACAGCGCAUAGAGUAACUGUUAUGCGUGUGACGGUAUCUAACCAGAAAGCCACGGCUAACUACGUGCCAGCAGCCGCGGUAAUACGUAGGUGGCAAGCGUUGUCCGGAUUUAUUGGGCGUAAAGCGAGCGCAGGCGGUCAAUUAAGUCUGAUGUGAAAGCCCCCGGCUCAACCGGGGAGGGUCAUUGGAAACUGGUUGACUUGCGUGCAGAAGAGGAGAGUGGAAUUCCAUGUGUAGCGGUGAAAUGCGUAGAUAUAUGGAGGAACACCAGUGGCAAAGGCGACUCUCUGGUCUGAAACUGACGCUGAGGUUCGAAAGCGUGGGUAGCAAACAGG